rnacentral:rRNA from 1 species
GACGAACGCUGGCGGCGUGCCUAAUACAUGCAAGUCGAGCGAAGUUUUUCUGGUGCUUGCACUAGAAAAACUUAGCGGCGAACGGGUGAGUAACACGUAAAGAACCUGCCUCAUAGACGGGGACAACUAUUGGAAACGAUAGCUAAUACCGGAUAACAGCAUAAAUCGCAUGAUAUAUGUUUAAAAGUUGGUUUCGGCUAACACUAUGAGAUGGCUUUGCGGUGCAUUAGCUAGUUGGUGGGGUAAAGGCCUACCAAGGCGACGAUGCAUAGCCGACCUGAGAGGGUGAUCGGCCACACUGGGACUGAGACACGGCCCAGACUCCUACGGGAGGCAGCAGUAGGGAAUCUUCCGCAAUGGGCGAAAGCCUGACGGAGCAACGCCGCGUGAGUGAAGAAGGAUUUCGGUUCGUAAAGCUCUGUUGUUAGGGAAGGAUGAUUGUAUAGUAACUAUAUACAGUAGAGACGGUACCUAACCAGAAAAGCCACGGCUAACUACGUGCCAGCAGCCGCGGUAAUACGUAGGUGGCAAGCGUUGUCCGGAAUUAUUGGGGCGUAAAGCGCGCGCAGGUGUUUUAAUAAGUCUGAUGUGAAAGCCCACGGCUCAACCGUGGAGGGUCAUUGGAAACUGUUUAACUUUGAGUGCAGUAGUAAAAAGUGGAAUGUCCUAGUUACUGGUGAAUUGCGGAGAGAUUAGGAUGAACACCUGUGGUGAAGGCGGCUUGUUUGCCUGUAACUGAACUGGAGUGGCGAAGUGUGGGGAGCAAACAGGAUUAUAUACCCUGGAUUCCAGGGGGAAUUGCACAUUGUGUGAUGAGCUGUUCUGGUGCGUGUGCUCUGGGGGUGUGCAAUAAAACAUGUUUUUGUCUCUUUUGUGUGUUUUUG